rnacentral:misc_RNA from 1 species
UGUAUAAAUUCGGUUAUUGGUUCGGUUUCGGUAUGGUUCUGAUUCAGCUCUUAAUGAAAAACCAGAACCAAACCAAGUAUCAAAAUAACUUUAGUUUGGUAUAAUUCCCGUCGGUUCUGUUCUUCGGUUCUGUUCUUCGGUUCAGUUCGGUUCCCCCAAGAACCGUGCAUAGUCCUAAUGAAUAGUUGUCAAGAAUCAAGAAUCUAGAGGGAUUUGCAUCUCAACUCUUCAGGGAUAUCUAGUACAUCAUUUCC